rnacentral:rRNA from 1 species
GAUGAACGCUAGCUACAGGCUUAACACAUGCAAGUCGAGGGGCAGCAUGAAUUUACUUCGGUAAAUUUGAUGGCGACCGGCGCACGGGUGCGUAACGCGUAUCCAACCUUCCCGUUACUCCGGGAUAGCCUUCCGAAAGGGAGAUUAAUACCGGAUGGUGUUCAAGUGGUGCAUGCCAUGGUGGACUAAAGGUAACGGUAGAGGAUGGGGAUGCGACUGAUUAGGUAGUAGGCGGGGUAACGGCCCACCUAGCCUUCGAUCAUUAGGGGUUCUGAGAGGAAGGUCCCCCCACACUGGAACUGAGACACGGUCCAGACUCCUACGGGAGGCAGCAGUGAGGAAUAUUGGUCAAUGGGCGAGAGCCUGAACCAGCCAAGUAGCGUGAAGGAAGACUGCCCUAUGGGUUGUAAACCUCUUUUGUCGGGGAAUAAACCGCGCCACGUGUGGCGCCCUGCAUGUACCCGCAGAAUAAGGACCGGCUAAUUCCGUG